rnacentral:misc_RNA from 1 species
GUGAAUCAUCGAAUCUUUGAACGCAACUUGCGCCUCAAUGAGGCAUGUCUGUUUGAGUGCCGUAUUCAACUAUAUAACAAUUAUUUAUUGAUUGAUAUAUGAGAUGGUUGUUGUCAAGUAGCAGUUAUGCGUUAUAUGUAUUAACAUACAUGAUAACAAGUCAUUCUUCGCUCACUGACUCGACUUAAAUGUAGCUUGGAUAAGUAGUUCUGUAUGAACGGCUAGCCCGAGUGCUAAGCAUUCUUGGUUCUAGUUUAUUAAUACAGUGCUGCGUAAUGUUUAAUAAUAUCAUGUAAAAAU